AAAAUCCGUCGAUUUNNAAAAUCUUGAGGGUUCAAGUCCCUCUAUCCCCA
rnacentral:tRNA from 1 species